CCUACGGGCGGCAGCAGUGGGGAAUAUUGCGCAAUGGGCGAAAGCCUGACGCAGCGACGCCGCGUGAGGGAUGAAGGUCCUCGGAUCGUAAACCUCUGUUAGCAGGGAAGAAAGGUCACUGUGCUAAUCAGCAGUGAAUUGACGGUACCUGCAAAGGAAGCACCGGCUAACUCCGUGCCAGCAGCCGCGGUAAUACGGAGGGUGCGUGCGUUAAUCGGAAUUACUGGGCGUAAAGCGUUCGUAGGCGGUAUGACAAGUCAAGGGUGAAAUCCCCGCGCUCAACGUCGGAACUGCCUUUGAAACUGGCAAACUGGAGUGUGUGAGAGGUAAGUGGAAUUCCAGGUGUAGGAGUGAAAUCCGUAGAUAUC
rnacentral:rRNA from 1 species